CUUUACUGCAACUUGACGUUGGAACUUGGCUGUAUUUGUGUAGGAUAGGUGGGAGACUUUGAAGCAGGGCCGCCAGGUCUUGCGGAGUCGUCGUUGAAAUACCACCCUGGUGCUGACGAGUUUCUAACCGUGUCCGUAAGCCGGACAUGAGACAGCGUCUGGUGGGCAGUUUGACUGGGGCGGUCGCCUCCUAAAAGGUAACGGGGGCAUUCAAAGGUCCCCUCAGCGUGGUCGGUAAUCACGCGCAGAGUGCAAACGAAUAAGGGGGGUGAACGGCGAGACCGACAGGUCGAGCAGGUACGAAAGUAGGAGUGAGUGAUCCCGCGGUUUAGCGUGGAAUUGCCGUUGCUCAAUGGAUAAAAGGUA
rnacentral:rRNA from 1 species